CACCAUGUGAUUUUCCUAGGUUUGGGUUUGAAGGUAAAGCAGUCAUGUAGACCUUUAUCAGACACUGUCUGUGGGACACUGGAGGGGUUCUACUGUCUAGACCCAACUAAGGAUGGUUGUAGAGCAGCCCAGAGACACAGCAGCUGUAAACCUGGUCAAUACAUCAGAAAAACAGGAACGACAUCUACGGAUACUGUGUGUUCUGACUGUACUAGUGACACCUAUUGAAAUGGUUCAUUAACAGCCUGCCAGUCACACACUAGAUGUGAAUCUUUGGGACUUCAGGAAAUUAAACCAGGAUCUCCUUGGUCAGAUUCAGUGUGGACCACAACUAUCCCAUUCCACAGCUAGAAGCAGAAAUAGUGCUGUGGCAUCCAUAACAGUUGUCAUGAUAUUAACUGGAGCUGUUUUCUAAUGAAUAAAACAACUCAGAUUCAUUUUAGGCAUUGUACCGUUUUCUAUUACAUCGGUUAAAUAUUG